GAUGAACGCUGGCGGCGUGCCUAAUACAUGCAAGUCGAGCGAACAGAUAAGGAGCUUGCUCCUUUGACGUUAGCGGCGGACGGGUGAGUAACACGUGGGUAACCUACCUAUAAGACUGGAAUAACUCCGGGAAACCGGGGCUAAUGCCGGAUAACAUGUUGAACCGCAUGGUUCUACAGUGAAAGGCGGCUUUGCUGUCACUUAUAGAUGGACCCGCGCCGUAUUAGCUAGUUGGUGAGGUAACGGCUCACCAAGGCAACGAUACGUAGCCGACCUGAGAGGGUGAUCGGCCACACUGGAACUGAGACACGGUCCAGACUCCUACGGGAGGCAGCAGUAGGGAAUAUUCCGCAAUGGGCGAAAGCCUGACGGAGCAACGCCGCGUGAGUGAUGAAGGUCUUCGGAUCGUAAAACUCUGUUAUUAGGGAAGAACAAAUGCGUAAGUAACUGUGCGCGUCUUGACGGUACCUAAUCAGAAAGCCACGGCUAACUACGUG
rnacentral:rRNA from 1 species